UACGUAGGGUGCGAGCGUUGUUCGGAAUUACUGGGCGUAAAGGGCGCGUAGGCGGCCUGCUAAGUCGAACGUGAAAUCCCCGGGCUCAACCCGGGAACUGCGUCCGAUACUGGCAGGCUUGAGUUCGGGAGAGGGAUGCGGAAUUCCAGGUGUAGCGGUGAAAUGCGUAGAUAUCUGGAGGAACACCGGUGGCGAAGGCGGCAUCCUGGACCGACACUGACACUGAGGAGCGAAAGCCAGGGGAGCAAAGCGGG
rnacentral:rRNA from 1 species